rnacentral:rRNA from 1 species
CAUAUUACUAAGCGGAGGAAAAGAAAUUAACAAAGAUUGCCUUAGUAAGGGCGACUGAACCGGCAAGAGCUCGAAAUUGAAAUCGUGUAUUCAAGGAAUACUCGAAUUGUAAUCAGGUCCUCCUAAAUACUGGUUUUAGAUUAAGCAUGUCGAAACGUGCACCAUGGAGGGUGACAGUCCCGUGUAUCUGAAACCAGCUUCGGGGAAUCCACAAAAGAGUCGGGUUGUUUGGAACUGCAGCCCUAAGUGGGAGAUAUGAAUCUUCCAAAGCUAAAUAUGGAUGGGAGACCGAUAGCGAACAAGUACUGUGAAGGAAAGAUGAAAAGGACUUUGAAAAGAGAGUGAAAAGAUCUGAAAUCGUUGAGAAGGAAGCGGUAAAAACUGACGUCUAGAAUGAUGGAUAUCGCGGUGCUAAGCUGCGUAAAUCCUAUCAAACGGAAGGCAAAAUGAAGUCAGUUGCAUCAAAAAAGGCAUAUGCCGGACAGGGUGCGACUGGCUUGAGGGACUAUUGUGAUUUUGCCGAAAUGGUUUUUACUGUCCCGUCUUGAAACACGGACCAAGGAGUCUAACCUAUAUGCGAGUGUGCGAGUGGAGAAACUCAUACGCGGAAUGAAAGUGAAAGAUGCGAAGCGCAAGCAGCAGCAUCGACCGACCUAGGUAGAAAGGUUUGAGUCCGAGCAUAUACGUUAGGACCCGAAAGAUGGUGAACUAUGCCUGAGUAGGGUGAAGUCAGGGGAAACCUUGAUGGAGGCUCGAAGCGGUGUUGACGUGCAAAUCACUCGUCAAACUUGGGUAUAGGGGCGAAAGACUAAUCGAACCAUCUAGUAGCUGGUUCCCUCCGAAGUUUCCCUCAGGAUAGCUGGAACAAUAACGCAGUUUUAUCAGGUAAAGCGAAUGAUUAGGGACCUCUGGGCGUUUUUUGCCUGGAUCCAUUCUCAAACUUUAAAUUGGUAAGAACUCCUUGUUACUUAAUUGAACAUGGAGACAGAAUGCAUGUUCUUAGUGGGCCAUUUUUGGUAAGCAGAACUGGCGAUGAGGGAUGAACCUAGCGUCGAGUUAAGGUGCCAAACUAUACGCUUAUCGGAUACCACAAAAGGUGUUGAUUCAUCUAAACAGCAGGGCGGUGGACAUAAAAGUCGUCACCCGCCAAGGAGUGUGUCAUGACUCACCUGCCGAAUGAAUUAGCCCUGAAAAUGGAUGGCGCUAAAGCGUAUGACCGAUACUCGACCAUUAUUGCAAAAGUUAGCAAUAAUGAGUAGGAGGGCGUGGAUGUUGUGAGAAGCUUUUGGCGUGAGCCUGAGUGGAACGGCAUCUAGUGCAGAUCUUGGUGGUAGUAGCAAAUAGCCAAUUGGAAACGUUGGCGGCCGAAGUGGAGAAGGGUUCCCUGAGAACAGUAAUUGGUCAGGGGUUACGCGGUCCUAAGUCUCUGGUUAAAUCUGUAUAAGGUGCUCUAUAGCACGGGACGAAAGGGAAUCAGGUUGAAAUUCCUGACGCGAAUAAAGAUACGUGGCAACACAAACUUGCUCAGAAACGUCAGCGCGUGCCCUUGGAAGAGUUUUCUUUUCUUCUUAACAAGCAAAUGGCCUUGAAAUUGGUUUACCCAGAGAGAAGGCUAUAAGCUUGGCAGAGCAUCUCGCUUUUUAGAGAUGUCAGGUGCGCUCGCGAUGACCCUUGAAAAUCUGAGUUAGAAUUAUCUUAAUUCGGCCGUACCAAUAACCGCAUCAGGCC